UACGUAGGGACCAAGCGUUGUUCGGAUUUACUGGGCGUAAAGGGCGCGUAGGCGGCUUUGCAAGUGACGGGUGAAAUCCCUCGGCUUAACCGAGGAACUGCCUGUCAGACUGCAUGGCUUGAGACCGGGAGAGGUGAGUGGAAUUCCCAGUGUAGCGGUGAAAUGCGUAGAUAUUGGGAGGAACACCAGUGGCGAAGGCGGCUCACUGGACCGGUACUGACGCUGAUGCGCGAAAGCGUGGGUAGCAAACAGG
rnacentral:rRNA from 1 species